UCCAAGAGGCAUGAGGAGAUAAAGGA
rnacentral:piRNA from 1 species